rnacentral:rRNA from 1 species
UACGUAGGUGGCGGGCGUUGUCCGGAUUUACUGGGCGUAAAGAGCGCGCAGGCGGUCGUACAAGUCUCGUGUGAAAGCCCCCGGCUCAACUGGGGAGGGUCACGCGAUACUGUUCGACUCGAAGGCAGGAGAGGGAAGUGGAAUUCCCGGUGUAGUGGUGAAAUGCGUAGAUAUCGGGAGGAACACCAGUGGCGAAGGCGACUUCCUGGCCUGUUCUUGACGCUGAGGCGCGAAAGCUAGGGUAGCAAACGGG